rnacentral:sRNA from 1 species
AAAACAAUUUUUAGCUAUCGUUAUCAAUAAGUUCAUCACUUAAAUGUUUUUGGGAAGUUCACAGUAUUUUGGAAGAUAUUCUAUUAAAUAUCAACUAUUUUUCUAGUUUUGUGUGCUAAUUUUUUCCUCGGUUAUCUAAUGUUGUGGUUGAUUUUAUUGCAAAACUAUGUCUAAGUUUGUAUGGUUAGAACAUCAUUUGAGCAAUAUAAUUAAGUUUGUGCAAAAAAGAAAGUUGAUCACUUAGUAUUAAUUUUUCAUUAUAUAAUUUGAUCAAGAUGCUUGCUUAAUCCGAUCUAGAUAAUAAACAAAAUUAUCUAAACAGUAUGAAACUACAAGUUCCUAAUAGUUAAUGUUUUGACAUUUACAAAGCAACUAAGUAAAAUGUUAUUAAUGAAUUGGUUACUUUUUUUUUGGUAAAAAGUUAAAUUCAUAUCAUUUUUAAAUUUUUGACAGAAAAUACAGAAAUCACAGAACAAAUGAAAACACGCUAUUGAAAAAUUAAAAACAACAAUAUUAUUCAAAAAGCUUUUGGUUGCUACUGAAUGAAUUGGUUACUUGUUUAGAUUGGGU